rnacentral:lncRNA from 1 species
GGAAAGAUAGUACAUUCAACACAGUUAGUUCAUUUUAUAUCACAACCUUAAACCGUAAUUAAGUUUCCAAGAUUCCAUACAAUUACAUUUUAGAUAAGCGAGAGCUAGAAUUACAACAUAGUUCAUAGACCCAUCCAACACCCGUACAUAACCCACACAUAUGUCUACGGAGCCUCUAAGGAUGCAAAAGACAAGUAUGACAAUGCCGGCAACAAGGCCCCGGCUAUACCUCAAAAGUGGAUAUCUAUAGCAAAAGAUGUACAACAUAACCCCCUUGAAGGAGAAAGGGGCUCACCAAGACUUUGAGAGGAGGAUGUUCCGCUACGCGCGAUCGACACUACCCAUUAUGGAGCCACCUACAUUCAUUUAAACAUGUAGCAUCCCCGCAAAAGGGACGUUAGUACCAUGGAAUAGUACUAGUAUGUAUAACUAAACACCAUCUAGUUAGAAAGAACAACCAUACAAGAGUAAAAGAAAUCAUAAGGACAACAAUGCUUCAAAUAAGCAUCACAUCAAUAAUAUAAGAGAUUCACAUAGUUUUUACAUAAUUUCUGAAAUUUUUGGUUGGGAAUUCUUUAUCGUUGCAUCAUUAUCCACAUUACCAGCGUUUCCUUGAGCGGAGUCCGAUCACGGACCGAUCGGCUAAGCCGUCUUACCAAAACAUUACUCUUAUUUCAUUAUCACUUUUCAGUUUCAAUUAUCAAAACAUUACCACCAUGUGUGUAUAACAUGGCGUCCGAUCACGGCCCGAUCAGCUAAGCCGUCUUACUAAGACGUUACCCUUUUCCGUCUCUCACUUCAAUCUUUGGAUUCACAUGAAUUAGUUUCUCGGUACUUGGGGCCACAAUUACCACAUUUCAUAACUCACAUUUUGCAUUAUUCCCAUUUUCAACAUUUAUCUUGCCAUUUAGGAUCAUAGGCACAUAUAAAAGCAAUUCAAGUUAUAAACAUAGAAAGAAAUUCAUCUAGUUCGGCAUGUUAAUCUCAAUGUAACCAUGACUUGACAUUUAGGCAUUUAGCACAUAGCUCAUGUUUUUCCACACAUCCUUAAUUUACAAAGAAUAACACACUAAACACAUGGAGAAGCAUCUUCCAAAUACCUUUUUAUAACAUCAAUUUAUUUGACAUAACAAGUACCACAUCAAUCGAAUUCUGGGCUUACAACAUUUGCAUGGGCACCAUGGAGGCUCAAUUUCUAAAAGGAGGGGUUUUUAGCCAUACAUACCUUGUUUAAGCGUUCCUUAAGUUACUACAAUGUUUCGGAAAUUCUAGCAAUCCCAAUCUACUUGAGACAUAACAAAAUUGAACACAAAUUAGGAAGGUAUUCAUGGUUUUGAGCAUUUUAUCAAAUACUAGUUGAGUAUUUUGAUUUCAAAUCUCUUUUACAAGAUUUUCUUCAUCCCCCAACCCAACCUUUACUUAUUUAUGCUCAACAAUCUUCCCACAAACCUAAUUUGUACAUGCAUGUAUACAUAUUACUAUUACACCCAAGAAUCAUACCUCAAUAACCCAUCUCACAAUCUCUACAAUACCAACACAACCUAGGUUAAGCACCUAUGGCUUCCAAUCACCAUCCCAUGAGUUACAAUACUUAAUUCAUACUCAUAUUCCCAUAAUAUAUCCAUAUAUGUAAGACUAAGGAUGUAGAAUUUACCUUUUCGAAGAAAACUAGCAAACCCUUCUUUGAGUUCUUAAAGAAAUUUCUUGGAGAUCUAUGUGUUUUAUGAGUAGAUUUCAUUAAUACUAGUGUAGGAAUAAUGGAAUUUUACACCAAGGUAAUGGAUAUUACUUACCUUGAAGAUGGAAGGGGUUGGAGGUCUUGAGAGAGUGGAAGAAGACCCUAAGAGUCGUCCAAAAGAAAUGGGAGAAAAUGAAUCCCGAAAUUGUGCUUAUAAGCCCAGAUUUCGGAUGCUGCCUUGGAUGGUUCGCAUCCCCACUUCACUCCUCUCAGGAGCUCGGAUGCUGACCCGGAUGCUAUGGCAGCACUUCACUGCCAGCUCCUCUUUUUGGAUGCUGCCUCGGAUGCUUCGCAUCCGCACAGUCCUCUACCAACCUUUGGUAAUUUGGUCAUAACUUUGUGUAGGAAAGUCCAAAUGAUGAACGGUUUGAAGAGUUAGAGACUAGACUCAAAGGCCUUUCAUUUGAUAGGCUGUGCAUCAUCUAAAACCUUAUAUAUCUGUAGGUACGCUCGUCCAAAGUGUGGUCUUGUGCGUACUCAUUUGAAAUUUUAGUCUAUCAUGUAAUUUUCCAACUUAGCUUAGACUUAGGCCUCUCCUUAAACCUCAAAUCACUUAUAAUAUGACUUAUAUGCUUAUUAACAUAUCCAAGUGAUAUCCAUUAUAUCAUGACUUCUCAUUUGCACACAAAAUAAAAUAAUUAGCCUACCUUGGCACCACGAAAUCUUAAAUUACUUAGCAAAAUUUUCUGGGGAUUUACAAUAUCAGUCCGCCGCACAUCCUUGACUACUUUGAGACUUUAUGGUGAGCUGCCUUCUAAGCCAGUUUUGCAGCAGUCGAAGUCUUCCUUUGCUUUAUUUUCUGUCUAUUUCAUUUCAGACAAUAGUGUAGUAUUCUUUUGUAUAUUCUACUAAUAGCUCAUACACUUGUGACACCAGGUCUUGGAGGUUUAAGCUAGUAGACACUUGAUAGUUUUUUUUGGGGGGGGGGGUAUCUUAUUUAUCUCAUUGCUUUAAAAAUCUUGAUCUUUUAUUUUUAUUUAAUUCUUACUUCUUAUUUAUGCACAAACUAGAAAUUAACUAUUUCAAAUUUGUAAAAGAAAGAAUCAUAGAGUUAGUUCACUGUAGGCUUGCCUAACGACAACUAUGGGCGCCAUCAUGGCUUAUAGGAUAAAUUGGAUCGUGACAAUAUGGUAUCAUAGCACUAGGUUCACGUAGGUCUCACACGUUAUGAUCAGGGCUAAUAGAGUCUUGCGGAUCGGUGCAGAGACGUCUGUACUUAUCUUCGAGAGACUAUAGGGUGUUAAAAAACUACUUUUUCUUCAUCUCCUAUCAUGCAAUUGAUGUUGUAUUAAGUGUCUUUCUCUAAUUCUCUCACAGAUGGUGAAAACGCACAUGACAGAUGUUCCAAACUAGUGAGGAGCUUCUCCCCUAUUUCUAGAGGCUGAGGUCGAGGAUGGGGGAAAGAACCAGCUCGAGGUAGGGGACGAGGACGUUCUAGAGUUGUCCCAGCUAUACCACCAGCGGAUCUGGUAGAGGAUCCCAUUAUUAAGGAGAAGGGCAAGGUGCCUGCACCAGAGCCAGCCCCGGUAGAUUUCAUGUUGGCACCGGGCUUCCAGGAGGUUAUGGGCCGUAUGCUAUGGUUCAUGGAUUCUAUGACCCAGGCUAGUUUAUUUCCAGUAGACCCAGCCACAUCUCAGGCGGGAAGGGGGAGCACAAACCCCUACUGCUUAGGCUCCUGGACAUGCAACUGUCGUUUAUCAGACCCCGAGCACACUACUCGUGGGCGGAGCCCAGCCAGUUGCAGCAGUUGUAUGUGAGCGUACACCAGCUGCGACUAGCAAGCUGCAGAAGCUAAUGGAUAGAUGGGCCAGGCUUCACCCUCCUGUCUUCAGGGGUGAGUGACAUGAGGAUCCCCAGGACUUCAUUGAUAGGUGCAGGGAUAGACUGCACAACAUGAGUAUAUUAGAGUCACAUGGGGUGGAUUUCACUACUUUCCAGCUGGAGGGCAGGGCCCGUAGAUGGUGGCAAUCAUAUCUUCUCGGCAUAUCAGCAGGUUCUCCUCCCAUGAUUUGGGAUCAGUUUACACGCCUUUUCUUGGAUAGGUAUAUUCCACCCUCCUAAAGUGAGGAGUUGCGGUGUUAGUUUGAGUGACUAUGAGGCGAGAUUCUCUUAGUUGUCUCGCCAUACACUUAUGAUACUUCCUACUGACGCGGAGAGAGUGCAGAAGUUUGUUGUGGUGUUGCACUUAGGUAUUCAGGCCACUAUAGCCUAGGAGGUUGAGAUGGGUACUUCUUAUCAGCUAGUAGUAGGGAUAGCUCAGAAGAUUGAGGGUUACUGUCAAAGAGGUAGAGAGCAGAUGUAGCGGGACAAACGGGUCCGUUAUUUUGGAGAGUUUAGAGGUGUCCCCUCUAGAGGCAGAGGUCAGUUUGGGAGAGGUCAGCCUGGCAUGCCCAAAUAUCCAGCACCGCCACCUCCUCGGGGUGCUCCAGUGCGACCUUAUUUUUGUUCCAUGCUAGAGAGUUCAUAAUGCCUGUCACACCUCCUUUUUACUACCCACAGGAGUUUUUUCCAAAUAAAGUGACAAUCUAAACGAGAUUAUUUAUAUUAAAUCAGAGUCGCCACUUGGGAUAAUUUAGGGUGUCCCAAGUCACCGGUGUAAAUCUCGAAUCGAGGAAAGAUUGACUCUGUUUUACAGUCCGCAAACACAGAAAUCCGGAUAAGGAAUUCUGUUAACCCGGGAGAAGGUGUUAGGCAUUCCCGGGUUCCGUGGUUUUAGCACGGUCGCUCAACUAUUAUUAUUAGCCUAAUUAUCUGAUUUAUUACACGUCUUAAACCUAUUGUGCAUUUUAAACUUUAUAACCACUUUUAUUUAUUCAAGGAAUUAUUUUCUUGAACAAGGCACGAUUGUCGUACACUCAUCAUUUUGGUACACAUUGCAAACCACGCUACAUGAAAUGUAUCCGCGAUUUGCGACAUGUUUAUUUUAUUAUUAUUAUUAGAAAUUAAAAUCGGGUCACAUGAAAUGCACACCCAAACUAAAAUUUACGCAUCGUGACCAUAAACCAUAGCAAAAUGAACAGCCCUCUUGUGAGUGAAUCAACAAAUUGAACUAGUCAAGAAAACAUUAGAUGAAGCCCAAUGACGAUUGGUGCCAGAAGUAAUUGUAUUUGAAUAAUUGCAGAAAACACAAAAUCACAUUUCGAAGUCCCACCACAAACCUUAUGGACCAUAUAUUUCUUACACAUAUACAGAAUCAUCAACCCAAUUAAAAUGACCAAUUCAACCAAGCCAAUUUUCUGCUAGUCCAUUAUUUCUAUCAUUAAUAUAAUAUUUUUAGCUAAUAACAAAAAUAUCAAAUGCAUUCAUCAUAUCAUGGACUAAUUUCUCACAUUGAAGCAUUGAAACACAAGGGACAAAUAAGUAUAUAAUUUAAGAUACCCAUUUUAACAUGCUAGUGAACGGCCAAACAUCCUCUAAUUUAAAUAAAAAAACAGAAAUGAACUUUUAAGCAAACCCACUUUAAGACAUGGAAUCAAAAUUUGCAUAGGCCCAAAUACUUAAUGAAAUAAUCAUUCAACCAAAAUUAGAAUCAAGCUAGGAAGACAUGGUUGCACAGAACGAACCUUUAUUAUUGCCGAAUUUGAAAUUGUAGAACUUUGCAAUUUAACAAAUGGACGGAACACCACUGACAACGACCAGAAAUCAGUGAUGGCAACUUCGACCUCAACAGACCAGAAAUGAAAACGUCAUUGCGCCUUUCAACCUCAAACGACAAUAGGGCUCGACUCGGAAUCAAUGUCGAACAACAGUCAAAUAACAUCUAUCUCAGUUUCUGCUUAAAGUUUCUGCCGGAUUUCUGGCCAUUUAUGGUACCUGUUGCUGCUGGUUGCUAGUGAGUUCUGGUGUGAGGUAAUGGAGUUACGAUCGUGGGCUGGUGGAGGAUGGCGAUGAGCAGAAGCGUUUGGUGAAUAUGAAUGAGGGGGGUCAUGACUGAAGGUUGCUCUGGAGACUAGGGUUCUUUCUUCUUUGCGUUAGGUCUCAUAUGUUCAAGGUUGAAGAUGAAAGAAACAGGUCCAUGGGGUUCGACGGUUGAUUUGUUCUGUGUAUAGGUCUCCUGGAAUGGAGUUUGCCAUUUUCUUUAAGAAGAAGAAACAACUCCUUUAUGCUGAAAAUUGGAGGAGACGAAUCAAGGGGAUGGGGGUCGUUUUGUGAUUUGCGGCUGACUUAAUGAAGAAGCAGCAACAACAACUCCUAGUUCUUUUUGACGUUAGAUCUUAGAGCCUCAUGAAGAAGAAGCUCAUGAAGGUCUCAUUUUCAUUCUCAGCCGCUGUUUUUUUCCUAGGUCUUUUUUUAGAAGAUGAUCAAAUUGGGGGAGGGGGGAGGGAGGGGUCGUGUAUAUGGUCAAAACGACACUGAUGUAUAUUAGGUCCUAGAGUCUUGUUUGUUUUAUAGGGUUUUUUUAGGUUAGAGAGUAUGGGCCUAGGAAUUAUGGGCUUGAGAAUUAUGGG